UUGAUUAGCCUUUGCUUUAGGAAUAGCAAUGAAAAUCAUUACAUUAAAGAUUCCAAUGGCAUAACUCUUUAAACAAGUCUACCACUUUCCCCAAAUAGUCUAACCUAAAAAAAUAAGCAUCACUAUUCAAAGUCUUUGAGUUCCUCUAUCCAUCUGCUUCCCUCCCAUGCUUAAACUGCCACAAUACUAUGAAUUGCUCACUUAAAAUAAACCCUUCACAUAUUUUUUUCUGUCUUCUAUCUGUCAGCAUUUAGAAGGUUAAUGACAUAUUUUUCUUCCUUCAGAAGAGUAUUAUAUACUGAUUCUCUCCAUGAAUCCCUCCAGAUACAUCUUCAUUUGACUAUUCUCAUUUCAGCAGCCUCUCCUGUGUAUGUUCAUAUCUCUUUACACAGGUCAGUCCUAUUCAUGGUGAAAGGGACCAACCACAUCAUGGUACGGAUAGCCAGGUGGCAACUGCUGUGGAUCAUCUUGGAGCUUGACCAUCACACUAUGUUCCCACGACCCUCACAAGCAUGGCCACUGGAGCCAGGGGAUUGCUGAUUUGCUGUCUGAUUAAGGAAGACAAGUUGUUACUGAAAGACUGAGAAGCUUUAAAAGCAGUUCUGAUGAAGAUUUGGAUUCACGACCAAAGAAAAGGUGACAUUCUGCAGUACUGGAGAUUAGAACGUCAAUGUAUGAAUUUGAGGAAGACCUAAUUCAACUCAACAGAAGCCAGAGCUCUUCAAGGAAGACCAGAGGGUCUCCAAAAGAGAGAUUUUGCAAAGAAGCAGAAGAAUAUAGUAUAUGUUAGAAGAUCUUCUGUGCUUGCUCAUUUCACACCAGAAAAACUCCCGAACAGGCCUCUGAAGACUAUGAAACAUUUUCCUUUGGCUAAGAGAGAAGUGUCAGUAGAACUGAAGAAGCAGUCAUAAAAUUAUUUUUUUAAGUGGAAACAAUUAUCUUAACUAGUGAAGAAAGUCAGCUUCAUGAUUUUAGCCCUAAGCAAAGGUAUGGCUCAGUCAUUUUUAU